UACGUAGGGGGCGAGCGUUGUCCGGAAUUAUUGGGCGUAAAGAGCGUGUAGGCGGUUCGGUAAGUCUGCCGUGAAAUCCUGGGGCUCAACCCCGGGCGUGCGGUGGAUACUGCCGGGCUAGAGGGUGGUAGAGGCGAGUGGAAUUCCCGGUGUAGCGGUGAAAUGCGCAGAUAUCGGGAAGAACACCCGUGGCUAAGGCGGCUCUCUAGUACGGUACUGACGCUGAGACGCGAAAGCGUGGGGAGCGAACAGG
rnacentral:rRNA from 1 species